rnacentral:rRNA from 1 species
CAGUCGCCACGGGAAUACAGAGGGUGCGAGCGUUAAUCGGAUUUACUGGGCGUAAAGCGUGCGUAGGCGGCUUCUUAAGUCGGAUGUGAAAUCCCUGAGCUUAACUUAGGAAUUGCAUUCGAUACUGGGAAGCUAGAGUAUGGGAGAGGAUGGUAGAAUUCCAGGUGUAGCGGUGAAAUGCGUAGAGAUCUGGAGGAAUACCGGUGGCGAAGGCGGCCCCCUGGACAAAGACUGACGCUCAGGUGCGAAAGCGUGGGGAGCAAACAGGAUUAGAUACCCCCGUAGUCCCUGUCUCUUAUAC